GACAGCAUGGCAUCCCGCGCCGGAGGCAGCUCGACGUCCCAACGGCGCAGGCCGUUCGUGUGCUCACCCUCCUAUCCAACAAGAAGUGGGACCUUGAACUCCAUACACAGGAUCAAUAGCUACCUGGCUUUUGGCGUUUGAUUCCAAGAAGUCGGGAAAGGAAUACAAAACAUGGCAUGCUCUUGUAAGGACUUUUGUUAGAUGAUUUUGCUGCAUUUCUACGAUAUUAGGAAAGGAAAA